UACGUAGGGUGCGAGCGUUGUCCGGAAUUACUGGGCGUAAAGAGUUCGUAGGCGGUUUGUCGCGUCGUUCGUGAAAACUUGGGGCUUAACUCCAAGCGUGCGGGCGAUACGGGCAGACUUGAGGUAUGCAGGGGAGAACGGAAUUCCUGGUGUAGCGGUGAAAUGCGCAGAUAUCAGGAGGAACACCGGUGGCGAAGGCGGUUCUCUGGGCCUUACCUGACGCUGAGGCGCGAAAGCGUGGGGAGCGAACAGG
rnacentral:rRNA from 1 species